rnacentral:lncRNA from 1 species
AUGUGCACGGAGCAGCCUUUGAACACCUGGACCUGGGGCACCUGGGAGGUGGGAGGAUGGGAGGAACCCAGCAGCCGAGGUCAGGUGGCAGACAAGCUGGGUCAUGCUGUGCGCCCGUCCAAAUGGAUCCACCUGGCAUGUGGGUGGUGUGACCCAACUGGUUGGAACUUUUCAGUGCCAAACUGUUCUUUUCAGAAGACAGGCCUAGAGAGCUGGCCUCCAUCCUCCUUGCCACUCUGGGGACACCUGGGGACUUUCUUCUGUGACUUGCCAAGAACAUCCCAUGAGCUGCCGGGUUCCAGACGUUUGGGUAGUGAUGAUUCUGGUGGUGGAGCACAACCCCCACCCCCUGCUUCCUGUUAUCCUUUCUGACCAUAUUUCAGGGAAAUUCAAAUCUGGGAGGGCUCUGAGGCUCCAUCCCUGUGGUGCCAAACCUCCUAAUGAAAACAGAACCAGAGUCAAGCAGCCAGAUGUUUCUAUAAUGGGAAAAGCCCGGGCACAGCCACUUACCUUUGUUCUACUCACAGACAUUUGCAUUCAUUUCAUGUGAUGGCUUUGGGAGACAUGAAACAGCCUAAGACAGCAUGGGUUGGGGCUGUUCCUCCAGAAGUUUGGAAAUUCUGUGGUUGUUGCCUUUGGUGCUUAGUCAAACCGUCUUUGUCGUAAGUCAAAUGGACACUAUUUGUACUGUUCAUUCUUAUUGCAUUUGCAGGAUGUUUUAUGACAGCAGUUUGUAGGUAUUUCUGUGACAGAAAUCAGAGACAAAAGGAAGGAGGAAAGGUCAGACUCAAAACGUAUGGCUCUACCCUCUGACUCAUGGGGAGAAGCUAUGAGACCCGGAGCUCUGGGCUUUAAGUCGGACGAUACUAGGGCUUGAAAUCAUUAUCUCCAUCCUUCCCCCAACCCAGUCUGUGGAGGUGGGCGACAGGGAGGAAAUGGCCUCAAGAAAGCAUGUUUCUCAGAUCCCACUCAAGGAAUUCCGAUUUCCUGACUCUUCAUACAGUAAGGACUUGGGGGCUACCUAACCAUCUGUCUCACACCAAGACGGCAGCCAGCUGAGCCACACUUAGAAGUGCCUUUGUGGCCGGACAUGGUGGCUCACGCCUGUAAUCCCAGCACUUUGGGAGGCUGAGUUGGGUGGAUCACCUGAGGUCAGGAGUUUGAGACCAGCCCAGCCAACGUGGUGAAACCCCAUGUCUACUAAAAAUACAAAAAUUAGCCAGGCAUGGUGGCAGGCACCUGUAAUCCCAGCUACUCGGGAGGCUGAGGCAGGAGAAUUGCUUGAACCCAGGAGGCUGAGAUUUCAGUGAGCCGAGACUGUGCCAUUGUACUCUAGCCUGGGCAAGAGAGCGAGACUCUAUCUCAAAAAAAAAAAAAAGAAGCAAGUCAUUAGGUCCAGCCUACUCUCAAGGGGAGAAAAUUACACAAAGGCAUGAAUAAUGUCUGGCACACGGGAGAUUCAAAAUAUGUAUACAUUGAGUAAAUGGAAAAAAUCUGGCAGAAGGGAAAGAAAUUUUUUGUAAAAUUAAAAAAAUAUAUUUAGAAAAGUACAAGGAUGGUGCAGUGGCUCACGCAUGUAAUCCUAGCACUUUGAGAGGCCGAGCAUGCGGCAUGGGAGUCAUCUUAGCAGCCUAUGCACCAGUUUGUUUUCAGCUGAAACAGCCACUGAAUGGAAGUUAGUAAAACCCCUGGCAUCUGUUAAGAUUCAGCUAACCCACCAACCAAACGUGGGUUAUGAUGGUUGAAUCACAUUCAUAUUCAAUUUAUUCCCAUCAGGCGUUUGUGGCUAUUUGAAAAAAAUCUUCAUCCUUCUUAACAAGACUCCACGUUGUCUUCUCCAUGACCUGUGCUGCUACAACAUUGAGUUCUGUUCGGCUUUCUUGAGGUUGGGGAUCAGAUUUGCACCCAGGCCUGGGCACUCCUUCUAAGAACAAGAAAGAGUGAACAGGAUCCAGUUACAAGAGACUGCAGAACCCUAAAAUGUUCAAGCCAGAAAAGAUACAAGAGAGAUCACUGCAUAAUCGAUUAUCUUCUAUCCCACCCUGAACUGAGCCCCCAUCCUCGGUGACUUUCCAUACCUUCAAACACCUUCCUUACAGUUCUUUCUCUCUCUCCAUAUAGACCAGAUAGUGCUGUGAAACAAACAACAAUGAACCGCAGUGGCAUGCAACAAUUAGCGUGCAUUUCUCAUUUACAUGUCUGUGGUUUGGCUGGAGUAGCUCUGUGUCUCUGACAGAAGUUCUGUAGGUCCUUUAGGGUAGCUCUACUCCACAUGUCUUUCAUUUUCUGGGACCACUAAGCUACCAGAGGUAUACCAUGCUCAUGGAAAUGGCAAAAGAGAGAGAGGGCAAAUCCUACCACCCAGGCACCCUUCCAUUCUUUGUGUGUGUCAUCUUUGGUAAUAUCUCACUGGGCAAAGCAAGUCACAUGGCCAAGCUCAAGAUCAAGUUGAGGAAUAUACUCCUUCCACCAUGAGGCUAUGGCUAGAGUCGGGAUGUAUACUACUACUAUAAGGGGCUGAAGGACUGGGACCAGAACUCAAUCAAACACACUCUUACUUUUCCCCACACCAAGUUCAUUAUCGAAACACCAGAAGCAGGAAUACAAGCAGGUAUGGGGCAGGUUUCUGUCUCCCAUCUUCCUAGAGGGACAGGAGUAUAUUUAGAGACAGAAAACAAAGAAUAGCAAGUAGCAGGUGAAUGGGACAGACAGGUUGGGCUCUGGAGAGGGUUUAGAAAUAAGAGAGAGGAACAACUGGCCCGUUUUUUUCUCUGGGUCUUGGAGAGGGAUCUUGGGGGUCUGGACAGGUUCUUUCCUGUUGGGACACACCCUAUCAGUUGGUGGCUUGGGAGAUAGUACAGGGAGGAGGCAUCUCCUGGCUCUGAAUCAGAGUGAGAACAUGACACUCUUUUCCAAUGAUCUUGCAAUAGUUCUGAUAACAGGAAAAAGACUUCUCUGUGUUAGCAUGCUUUUAACAUCUUGCUGAUCACCCCCACUGUUUUUUUUUAAGAGACAGGGUCUUGCUAUGUUGCCUAGGCUGCCUCGGAACUCUUAGGCUCGAGCAAUCCUCCAACCUCAGCCUCCCAAGCAGCUGGGAUUACCAGUAAGCACCACCACACCUGGCUCCCUUUUUAAUAGACCCUAAACCUCAGACUCACGGACUCUUUCAGGCAACAGUAUCUGGCUACAAUUCACUAACACUGUUUUAUUUCAAUAGUGUUUAUAUUCAUAAGUUUGUCUUCUAUUUUUGGCAGAUGGCCCUGGUUUCCUGUUUACCAUGGCAAUAUAGGGCUUUCUUUUCAAAUAAACAAAAUAAACGGAGUUAAUUUAAAGAAAGCAAGUGAAUACUAGUUCAGGUGGAAGGUGGACAUGGCAAAAAUUAGAGCUUGAGUGUGGUUAGCAUUUGGUAAAUAGUGAUAGGGUGGAAAGAGGAGAAUGGGGUUUGCUGCAGUGAGUCUGGGUUCAAAUCCAAACUUUAUCAAUUGCAUAGAACCUUUGGGUAAGUUACUGGUGUAGCUUCUCUGAGCCUUAGUUUCUUCACGGAUAAAAUGAGGGCAACUUGUUUUGCAGGGCUGCCAUGUUCUAUUGAAGGUUAUGUUUGUAAAGUAACCCGCACACACUAAGCCCUCAGCAAAUGCAGAAACCUGCCUGCUCCAUCCCCUACCUGCCCUUUCCAUUCUGGGAGACUUUGGGGUUUUCUCUGUCCUCCACAUGGCCACAGGCAGGUAGGUGGGCCCUGCCUGGCCCUCCUCUAUAGCAACCAGACCUCACUCUCCUCCCCUAUUAUGGAGGAAGAGGACUCAGUUCCUAUUAGUGCCUUCCUGUCCCCUCUCCAGCUCCACACACACACACACACACACAUACACACACAUACAAUUAUACACACACAAUUAUCUUGGGGGAUGAGAGUCUUGGUUAACAAUAGAAUUAAAGGAGAUUUGGCAGGUCAGACCCUAGGCCAACUUGAGAAGCUCAAGGCGUGGCGGAGGGGAUGGCCCUUUAGAGGGGAUCUCAAAUCCCCCAAGGAUCUCUGAUUUAGACCCAGCAAGGCCCUCUCGUGACAGA